AACGCAUAUUGCGCCCGAGACCUCGGUCAAGGGCAUGUCUGCCUCAGCGUCGGGUUUCCCUCACAAAACAUUCACUUGUUUGUUUUGUGGACUUGACGGCCCGCCCGGAUGAUUUCACCAUCAACCGGUGGCCCGUUGAAAAGCAGUAGCUCGUGCUCCAUGCGAUUAUGCAACAAAGCCAAAUGGUGCGCAGCUGGGCAAGCAAUUUCGUAUUGUAUUUGCUCGUGAGUCUGCCUGCUUUUUUUGGUGGCAUAUUCUGUAUGAAUAAGCGAGAAACUCAGGAAACGUUACAAUUCAAUCCUCGACCUGAGCUCAGGCAAGAUUACCCGCUGAACUUAA
rnacentral:misc_RNA from 1 species